CACAGGCCAGCUCGUGUUCCCGGUCCCCGCAGGAGGUUUUUCUUACAUUCAGAGCAAUCGUGAGGGCGAUAACCGAUGUCCCCCAAUGUGACCCACGGGGUCCUCACAGGGCCCCAGGAGCAGGGAGGGCAGGGCAUGGCAGGGCAGGCCACAGGGAUGAAGUUCAAGGAGCUUGGAGCUUCCAGGCUCCACAAUCAGGUCUGUGCUCCCAGGGAUGAAGCAGCCGGGCUGAUCCGGGCCCGAGGUCCCCAGCCUAUCUAGGGAGCCACAGACACCACCUGUCAAGUUGCUCACUGCCAGAGAAACGCAACCUUCCCCGGAACGCAGACUCAUCAGUGUGAGAGUCCCUGGGCUCCUGGGCAGGUAAGGAGGGCUCCUCCGCACCCACAAAUCCACCCAUGUCUGCCCUGGGUGCUGCGAGGCAGCUCCCCAGCGUGCGCUCAGCAACUGGGAAUUUCACCAAGCUGCCCUCUGGCACAGGGGCUGAGUCCAGGCCCUGGUAGACCUGUUGUCACAGGGAGGCUUGUCUAGAGGCCGGGGCCUCGCCAGGUUUAGGAUAGAACCAAUCCACCUGCUGUCCCCUCAGGGAUGAUCAAGUGAUGCAGGACAAGAAGCCAUUUCCCAGGUGACAGAAUGAGACGGCGCUGAUCGCCCAGGCCCAAGCUGCAGGUGGGCACAGAGCUUGGGGCACCAGGACCACACAAGGAGCUGUGCCCACCCCUGUGCAUGCAUGCCCCUGCCAGGCCAGCCGGGCACAGAACACGCUCCAUCUCAUGACUGCCCCAGGACCCACUCCACGGAGGUGGAAACUGAGGCUGGGGAGGAGGGAGAACCUGCCCGCGGGCCCCUGUAACUAACCCAAGCCUCGGCAGAGGACACCCCAACCAGGUGGCUCAGAAGGUGGGGUGGGCAGGGUGGACACAGGGACGGGGCAGCGUGGGAUGAAGACUCCGCACCCCAGGGAUUCCUAGAAAGGGGAGGCGGGCAGGAUGGGGACGGCACAAUAGAGAGGGUGGCGGUGUCGGGGCUGAGGUCAGGCUCGGGAGCACGGCAAGGGGAGGAGGCUGGGGAGUCCGCAUGGUGGGGGCCUGGGGGAGACUGUUCCCGCCACCUUGAAGGGCACCUUCCUCUCGGUGCCUCAGUUUCCUGAUUGGGAGAUGAAGAUGAAGAUGACAGGCUAUUGCCACAUGUGGCCUGCGUGGGGCUGCAGCACGGCUCCCCAGCCCCUGCUGCUGCCCAUGCUGCAGGGCCGGAGGGGAACACUUGUUCCUGAUGUGGGCAUUACUGCCAUUAAAAACCACUUUUAGGUCCUGGCUGUCUGGGGGCCUGUGAACCUCAUAAAAACCACAUGGGAAAUUUCAUUUGUAUGUAUAGUUUUGGGGGCACCAGUUCAUGGCUUUCCCAGAUCCUCCAGGGGUGCACGGCCUACCAGGCUCAGACCACACCACGUAACCCAGAGUGGACGGAGCUCUUGGAGGAGACACCAGGUCCCGGCACCUGCAGGCGCCCAUGCACAAGGUUCGCAGGGACUUGGCUAGACGCCACCCCACAUCAGGACCUCCGAACCCGGGUGGCCACCCGCUACCUCGGCACCGAACCACAGCUGGCCGGCCAGGUUGUCGUGCCGGAUCUCCUCAGGGAACUUGACGCAGAAAUCUCUGGGGGCGCGGUCCUGGGGGAUGCACUCAUCCAUGAUCUGGUUAAUGAUGUUCAACACAUUGUCCUGAAACAGAAGACAGGAGAAAGUGCGCCAAUCGCUGUGUCCAGCUGGCGGCCGCCAUGUACUGCUGGAAAACACGCACGGUGCAUGUGACUGUUUUUUAGGAUUAUUAAAGUGAUAGAGGAGGCUAGGCACGGUGGCUCAUGCCUAUAAUGCCAGCACUUUGGGAGGCCGAGGCGGGUGGUUUACCUGAGGUUAGGAGUUUGAGACCAGCCUGGCCAACAUGGCGAAACCCCAUCUCUACUAAAAAUACAAAAAUUAGCCGGGCGUGGUAGCGCACACCUGUAAUCCCAGCUAUUAGGGAGGCUGAGGCAGGAGAAUCACUUGAACCAGGGAGGCAGAGGUUGCAGUGAGCCGAGAUGGUGCCAUCGCACUCCAGCCAGGGCAAUAAAGAGCAGCAACCGCAGGAGCCAUGGGCUCAGACGGACUCUCAGUCGGCUGGGGACCUGCAAAGCCCUCGUCUUCCCUGAAGCUCAGUGCAUUCCUCUGUAGAGUCAGGGACACAGACCACGUCUUAGGGUCAGAAGAGUGCAGUUACGUCAAGGCCAGGCACAGCUGGGGCCUGCUCCUCCAUCCAGGGUGGCGUCCCCUCCCACCUCCUCUGGAACCAGCAGAUCAAUUACAGCAACGCAUAAGUCAGUCUGCACUGGAAGGGGGUGCUGCUUUCACAACAUGGAGACCCUGACUCCAUCCCUCAUGGCUGUUCAACGAGGGACAGGUCACUUCGCCUCUCUGAUCAGCCAGGUCCCCUUCUGUAAGCCUCAAUACACAGCAACUUCUGGCUUUUUGUUUAUUUUUAGAGGCAGGGUCUGGCUUUGUCACUCAGGCUGGAGUGAAGUGGCGCAAUCAUAGCUUACGACAGCCUCAAACUCCAGGGCUCCAGCCAUCCUCCAGCCUCAGCCUCCCGAGCGGCUGGGAUUACCAGAGUGAGCCAGCAUCCCUGGAAGCAGCUUCUACUUUAAAGACUCUUUAAAAUUAUUUUACUUUAUUUCCUUAUGUUCAAAAUAUAAAGUAUAACAGAGUGUUUUGAACACUUUGUGUAUAUGAGGGAGAAGAAGCCCAUUUUUUUACAUCUUAAAUUGCAUUCCAUCCUUUUCUGUAAAUUUGUCCUAUUCUUUAAACAUUGACUAUUCAUUCUGUAGGUUACAAAAACACUGGAAGUUUAACUUUUGCUUUAAUUUGUUAAAUAUGAAAUCAAUACACGUUCAUCCUAGGAAAACUGGAACCAAUGGGAAAGGAGAGAAGUGGGGAAAAUGUCCUUGGGGAAAUAUGACCGCAGGUGGGACACAGUUCCUUCUAAUUCUCAUCUUCCGAGGGCCUGUUUUCAGCCAACGUUGAGACGAUCCAUGUACGUAAUACUGCCUUCUGCUGUUGUAGCUGCUGCAACAUGUUAUUACAUCUGUCACAUAUACAAUUUUUGAUGGAUAGUGACAUGCAAUUCCAGCAUAUGGACCGUCCUGUUAACUCACUCCUUUGUCUUCUGCUGGACACUGACGAUGUGCCUAAUCCUCCACCUCCACGCAAUGCUGCCCUCACUACUGUGGUGCACGAUGCUCCGAGUGUGGAUUACUUCCUUAGGACCCACUGAUUGCUAGAAAUGGAAUUACAAUGUCAAAAGUGCAAACUGCGUUUCCAGGCUCUAAUGAGAUACUGCCAAAUGGCUUUCCAGAAAGAGCACACUAAUUGACACUCUCACCUUGGCAAUUUUUAAUCUCGACCAUCCCUCCUGAGGCUUGACUUUCAUUUUUCUUAGGAAGAGAUACGAAAACUCACUAUGAGUGGGGAAGCAUGACCCUUCUCAGGCAAGAAAUCAUGCACUAAACUCUGAAGGAAAUUCUGCACUGUAAGAAAAAUGUUAAGCCUUUAUAAUACAAAAAAUAAAAAUAAAAUUCAACCAA